UACGUAGGGGGCAAGCGUUGUCCGGAUUUAUUGGGCGUAAAGAGCUCGUAGGUGGUUCGGUAAGUCGGAUGUGAAAUCUCCAGGCUCAACCUGGAGGGGUCAUUCGAUACUGCCGUGACUAGAGGUCGGUAGGGGAGUGUGGAAUUCCUGGUGGAGCGGUGAAAUGCGCAGAUAUCAGGAGGAACACCCGUAGCGAAGGCGGCACUCUGGGCCAGUAUUGACGCUGAGGAGCGAAAGCGUGGGGAGCGAACAGG
rnacentral:rRNA from 1 species